rnacentral:rRNA from 1 species
UUCGAUUAACGCGAAGAACCUUACCGGGGCUUGACAUCCUGCACCAUUCUGGGAGACUAGGCUUUCUAGCAAUAGAACGCAGAGACAGGUGCUGCAUGGCUGUCGUCAGCUCGUGCCGUGAGGUGUUGGGUUAAGACCCGCAACGAGCGCAACCCUUGCCGUGUGUUGGUCCAAAAGAUCUCUCACGCGGGACCGCCGGUGACAAGCCGGAGGAAGGUGGGGAUGACGUCAAGUCAGCAUGGCCCUUACGUCCCGGGCUACACACGUGCUGCAAUGGAAAGGACAGCGAGUUGCGAACCCGCGAGGGUAAGCUAAUCUCACAAACCUUUUCUCAGUUCGGAUUGAAGGCUGCAACUCGCCUUCAUGAAGUCGGAAUCGCUAGUAACCGCAGAUCAGCUACGCUGCGGUGAAUACGUUCCCGGGCCUUGUCACACCGAAUCACUA